CAUUUCCCAAUAUUGCCACAAGAAUCGUAGAAGAAUUUCUGAAUACAUUUAAUUAGCUUGAAAACUGAAGAUUGUGAACAAAAAAUAAUGUGUCAAUAUGCAUGUUUGGGCUCAAGGAUUGGUUGUGUUCUUGUUAUAGUUGCAGCAGGUGCUUUUGUAUCUCCAUUCUCCAACAGAAGUCAUAUGAAGAGAUAAAAUGCUUUGGGUUACACACAAGUACAGAUUUCAUCAAUGUUAUUGUGACUAAGCAGGAAU